AUGUUAAUCUUAUCUGACAAUAACCUCACUGGAUCAAUACCAGCCUGGAUCAAUGCCCUUAGCAAUCUCUUCUAUCUAGACAUAUCUUCCAACAGCAUCACAGGAAAAAUUCCAACAGCAUUAAUGGACAUGCCAAUGCUAAAGUCAGAGAAGACUGAAGCCCAUCUGGACAUGAAGGUCUCCGAACUACCAGCUGAUGCAACUCUAUCACUUCAAUACCACAUACCAAUUGAUUUAUAUAAAGCUCUGGAUCUAAGCAAUAAUAUGUUAACUGGUGAGAUCCCCAUGGAGAUUGGUUAG
rnacentral:rRNA from 1 species